UACAGAGGUCCCAAGCGUUGUUCGGAUUCAUUGGGCGUAAAGGGUGCGUAGGUGGCGCUGUAAGUCGGGUGUGAAAUCCCCAGGCUCAACCUGGGAACUGCGUCCGAUACUGGAUGGCUUGAAUCCGGGGAGAGGGAUGCAGAAUUCCAGGUGUAGCGGUGAAAUGACGUAGAUAUCGGAAGGAACAUCAGUGGCGAAAGCGACUCCUGGACCAGUACCGACGUCAGGCACGAAAGCGUGGGGAGCAAACAGG
rnacentral:rRNA from 1 species